rnacentral:rRNA from 1 species
CAGCAAUGGUGAGCACGAGACCUGGUGGGUACCGUGUUCUAAGUACCUAUCUACGUCUGUAACACGUCGAGUGCUGCUCUCUGCACCUCGCGCGCGGGCGGCGUGUGAUCUUCGGGUGCGCGCGUGGUGGUCAUCUAUUGCGUGCGCGACUAGCGUUCUGUGGUUCUAGCGUUACAGACCACGGCGACUGUGUCGACGCCGACGCCGGCAGCGGCGGCAGCGGCCGAACAGCCUAGGCCACCGCAACGGCGAGUCGCCUGCGCACCGGUAGCACUGGCCGCGCAGCGCGCCGUAGCCUGCCCGGUAGCGCUGGGUGGAGAGGAGGGAGCCGCGCUCGCAGCAGCACCCGAUGCGCCGGUCGCGCCGGGUCCGGCUGCGCGAGCGGCGCCUCGAGGGCGCCCGGCACCGGCACUCCCGGCUGCAAAGGCUCCUCCAGCCGCACGCGAGGGAGAAGCUGCGGCGGGUCAGCCGGAAGCCGACGCGCCGCGGCGUGUAGGACCAGCGGUUGCGGCCGCACGAGCCGCUGUUCAUGGGCAGGGAGCGACUGUGGCGCUGCCGCCUGAAGCUGGCGCACGAGCGCCACUUGCGCGCGCCGCACAAGGAGACGGAGGCGCUCCGGCGGUUGGCCGACGGGGCGCCGCCGCCGCCGGCCUAGCACCGGCACUGCAGCAGGCACCAGCCCAGCUUGGGCUGACCCAUGAGACGGAUGUGCCGCAGGUUCCGCCGACACCUCCGCUACCACGCCUGCUACCGGUUUCUCGAGUUCCCGUGCGCGCAGUGCCGGUUGACGCACCGAGGCCCCCGGUGCCGGUGCCUGUACAAGAAGCGGCCCUUCUCGCUGCUCUGGCACUCCGCCUGGCGCCUCUGCUUGGGCUACCUCGCCGAGCCCCUCCGGCCGCUGUAGCGUGGCCACCAGCCGAAGGAGACGUGGCUGCGGCGGCUCACCCAGUUGCCCGUCCAGUAGGCACAGUUGCCGCCUAAGGGUCGGUUUUCCUUGUUUUCGCUGUUCGAAGGUCUCUCGUAUUAAAGUUCAGGGUUGUGAGUAUUGGUACCGGAGGAGGAGGGUGGUUCUUCUUGAGGUACUUGUUCCGGUCCUUCUGGUGGUGCUGGUCGUGCCGCUGGUUUAGUGGCGAGGUGAAGACGUCGGUAGCCGCUGCCGCAGCGGAUCAAGCGGCCUCCUUCCUCUCCUCUUGAGCGGCCACCUCGUCCACCGCGACUGCCACGGCCACCCUCUGCUGGGCAGCUGCGGCCACGACUGCAAGGCCUACACCCACGAGCCGCGCUGGCGGACGCACCGCGAGAGGAAGGAGUUGUGGAAGAAGCCCAUGGCGUUCCUCGGCGACCUCUAGUGCCGGUAGAGCCGCGUCCAGCGGCACCACGGCGACCCGGCCGAGUACCGGCGCCGCGAGGGGCUCGCGCGGAAGAAGGCCCCGGCCGCCACCCUCAAGUGCGAGUUGGGCCCCGGGAAGUUGCACUUCCUCGUGCACGAGUAGUGGUAGCAGCGGUUGCGGCCGCGGCCGUCGCAGAAGCGGUAGUUGGAGCAGUGCCGGGAGGCGCAGAAGAUGCCGUUCGGGUAGAGGAAGAAGCACAGGGAAGAGCAGCAGGAGUGGUCAGUCCACGACCCCAAGCGCACCCGCCCGUAUAAGGCCGCCAUAGAACACCUCGGCCGCCGCUACACCACCGGCAGGUUGGAACACGUCCAGAGGGAGAAGUCCCGUGAAGUACUCUUCCUUGCUUCCGUGUUUCCACCGUACUGCGCGUGAGUUAAGAAGUACCACCGUAAGCCCACGUCAAAACGGAUGAUGUAGAAAGGUUCGAUGGACAAACUCUACGAGUGAAGGUAAAGGACCUAGACGACCUAGAAAGGGUGGAGACAUCAGCGAGUUGUCGAACCGAGCCCGGAGGUGCCGGAACCGUAUCCACGUUAACCCGAACUGACCAGUAGAUAGAGGAGCAUGGAACCUUCGGGAGAGCGAUCGGGGAACAAACGGUGACGGUUGUAACGACGCCCGAAGAAGUAGAUGUAGAUGCGGGUAGCGGAUAACCAAAUUGCAGAUACUCCGCACCUUGAAGGGGUAGAAAAGUCUACCGGAGAAAUGCCACUGUCCAGUCUUCAUGUUGUAGAGAUCAUAACACCUAAGGCUCAAGGUGAAGCUACGUUUACGGAUACUCUUCUUACCCGGUGAUAUGUAUUCGUGGAAGAAACGACAGUCGAUACCAGAACCAAAACGAACGGACUGGCGUUGGUAACAGGUACAAGAGGAAAAGGUACCUUCACUUUAAACCCUCAAUUCGUUUAGUCGAAAGGUCCUAUCUUUUUACCUACAUGUGUGUUUCGAAUACUCCUCUAUGUCCGUCCAAGGACUUACCACCAAGUAAACGUAGGAACAGCGGUCACGACGUUAGUGGCACAAGUGAACACUCAUGAUGUAACUCGUUGAAGUCAAUGGGACCACCCCCUAUGACGAACGUACACGGGAAAGGUAAAAGAUGUGGGAAGGUUAACCUUAGUAGUGUCGUUGUUGGUUGGUCUGAGGUCCAAACUUAUAGUAGUGCCUCAUGUAGUACCCAAUGAAUAUAGGACCUGCUGGACAACGUUUGUACACAAAGUUCCAUAUACCGGUGCAACGGGGAGCAGUUCGAGAUCGUAAAGACGUUCUAAAAUUCAACCCGGUGAUGUACUUCUAAGGGGGUUCCUGGUACAAAUACCGAGUCCAACAUCCGUGAAACUAUAGUCGUAAACACAUGGAACCUUGUCGUACCACCUACUACCUGUGUUAGGGGUUAUAUACGUUGUGGCUCGAGGAGGGUCGUCCGUCGGGAACCUGGACAGGAAUGCUGGUAAAUAAGGUGCUACGUAGUCAGUAUACCCCGGAAUAGUCGGGUGCGUCUUAUAAGCCGCUAAACCCUUGAAUGAGACGACACUUGACCAAGAAAAACCCGCCACGGUAGCGAGGGGAGGAACAGACCGAACGUGUGUUCCGUAAGGGUCCGGUUUUUACCUAGAACGAACAGUUAUACGGACACGACGAGCCUCCUUAGUCAGUAUACGGAGGACGGUGACGUCAGUUGAUGUGCCGCACCUAUACGCAACGUAAAAACAGUCCAAUACACCAGAUAUUCAUGGCUGUAUUGACCACCUUCUCUGUGUUAAUAGAGGAAAGUCCACGGGACCUACGACCAAACCGUAAGUACCGACAGAACUAUAUAAAUACGGACCUUGAUCUAUUGUAGUGAAACUUGACCACCCCGUUACAAAGUCUACCUACAGGAGACCGAAGAACGGGGUGACGUUUCCCAUAUUAACAUCUACCAACAGGCCACGUAUUAACUCUUAUAAGAGUAGGUGCCGUCCGGACCCCUAUUUUAACUCUCGUUUUUUUCUACUUACUUCCGACGUGCCUACUCUCCAAAACGUACUAUAAGAAGAAACAUAUAUUUCUAAAUCUUGUCAGUGAUUUCCAGACGUAAAUCUUUCUUAUUUCUUCUUUAUUAACGAAAGUCCACGGGAAGUACGACGAAACCGAAAUUUCCAGUAGAGUUAGAUAAAUAUGUAUCCUUAUCUCUUGUAGUCAAACCUAACCACCCCUUUACCAAACCUACCACAGAACGGGGUGACGUUUCCAUAUUGAUAUCUUCUUAUGGGCCAUGUAUUCAUUCUUAGAAGAGCAGGUACCAACUCCUAUUUUUGACUUAACAGAAUUGCUAGACAAACCUACAGACAUAACUCCCCGAGGCAUAACUUAACCAACCUUAUGGUUUAGUCGUUGCUUUGACGGUACCCGUACUUAUGGUUAAUUAACAAAUCUACAAGUGACUUAACCGGGUACCUUAGAAUCACUCCGAAAUUACGGUUUAGAACAAACCUACCGUUUGAGACAUUGACGUAUCAUUGCAGUCAUACUUCUAUUACGGAACGUGUAAACUGAACGAUUUUCGGUCCAUGGGUUUAAGCCUAUUAAGCUCCUCUUUUGUAACGGAACGUGUUAAUAAGUUUGUUUGUUUUUGUUUUAACCUAUGUCCAUCUUCCAAC